CCUACGGGUGGCAGCAGUAGGGAAUAUUGGUCAAUGGGGGAAACCCUGAAGCAGCCACGCCGCGUGGAGGAUGAAGGUUUUCGGAUUGUAAACUCCUUUUGUUAGAGAAGAUAAUGACGGUAUCUAACGAAUAAGCACCGGCUAACUCCGUGCCAGCAGCGGCGGUAAUACGGAGGGUGCAAGCGUUACUCGGAAUCACUGGGCGUAAAGAGCGCGUAGGCGGGAUAGCAAGUCAGAUGUGAAAUCCUAUGGCUUAACCAUAGAACUGCAUUUGAAACUGUUAUUCUAGAGUAUGGGAGAGGUAGGUGGAAUUCUUGGUGUAGGGGUAAAAUGCGUAGAGAUCAAGAGGAAUACUCAUUGCGAAGGCGACCUGCUAGAACAUAACUGACGCUGAUGCGCGAAAGCGUGGGGAGCAAACAGGAUUAGAUACCCCGGUAGUC
rnacentral:rRNA from 1 species